GACGAACGCUGGCGGCGUGCUUAACACAUGCAAGUCGAACGGAAAGGCCCUGCUUUUGUGGGGUGCUCGAGUGGCGAACGGGUGAGUAACACGUGAGUAACCUGCCCUUGACUUUGGGAUAACUUCAGGAAACUGGGGCUAAUACCGGAUAGGAGCUCCUGCUGCAUGGUGGGGGUUGGAAAGUUUCGGCGGUUGGGGAUGGACUCGCGGCUUAUCAGCUUGUUGGUGGGGUAGUGGCUUACCAAGGCUUUGACGGGUAGCCGGCCUGAGGGGGUGACCGGCACAAUGGGAAUUGGAUAACGGCCCAAAUCCCUACGGGGGGAAGAGGUGGGGAAUAUGGAACAAGGGCCGGAGGCCUGAUGCAGCACCGCGGCGGGGGGGAGGACGGCCUUGGGGUGGAAACCGCUUUCGCCUGUGACGAAGCGUGAGUGACGGUAAUGGGUAAAGAAGCACCGGCUAACUACGUG
rnacentral:rRNA from 1 species